UACGAAGGGGGCUAGCGUUGCUCGGAAUUACUGGGCGUAAAGCGCACGUAGGCGGCUUCUUAAGUCGAUGGUGAAAUCCUGGAGCUCAACUCCAGAACUGCCUUCGAUACUGGGGAGCUCGAGUUCGGGAGAGGUGAGUGGAACUGCGAGUGUAGAGGUGAAAUUCGUAGAUAUUCGCAAGAACACCGGUGGCGAAGGCGGCUCACUGGCCCGAUACUGACGCUGAGGUGCGAAAGCGUGGGGAGCAAACAGG
rnacentral:rRNA from 1 species